rnacentral:rRNA from 1 species
UACGGAGGGAGCUAGCGUUGUUCGGAAAUACUGGGCGUAAAGCGCACGUAGGCGGCGCAGCAAGUCAGGGGGGAAAUCCCGGGGCUCAACCCCGGAACUGCACCCGAUACUGCCUCGCUCGAGUCCCGGAGAGGAUGGCGGAAUUUCCGGUGUAGAGGUGAAAUUCGUAGAUAUCGGAAGGAACACCGGUGGCGAAGGCGGCUACCUGGACCGGAUCUGACGCUGAUGCGCGAAAGCUAGGGGAGCGAACGGG